GCUAGCGUGGCUCAAUUGGUAGAGCUUCGGUUUUGUAAACCGACGGUUGUGGGUUCGAGUCCCGCCGCUAGCU
rnacentral:tRNA from 1 species